rnacentral:lncRNA from 1 species
AUUUAAUUGCAAUACUCAUAUAAGAAGGCCCUAUAUCAAUACUGAACGAAUAACAAUGAGACGAAGAACAACGAUCAAGAGUUGUUGACGUAUUUUCUAAACUAUGAUAAAAAUUAAACUAGAGUUGUCUCUCUUUGUGUGUUGUUAAUUGUAAUUCACAAAUACCAAAAUUAAAAUACUGUACAGACUUAAUGUAUAUUAUACUCAUUUGUGUAGAGGUUCCAUCCUCUGUAUUUCAUUUACAACUUAUACAAAAACAAUCCUUUGAAUUAAAAAUACAUUUUAUUACACCAACUUGUAUUUACAUUUUCAUGACUAGAAUAUACAUUUUUACUUUGUGGCAUUACUUUGGCUACAGAGUAUUCUAUAAUAUUUUGU